CGGGGAAGCGUACGGGAAAGCUGGCGGCACCGUGUGAGCGAACGAGAGCUUCCGCAAAAGCGUUGUGGUUAAAGCGGCUUCAAAGCGAAAGAGAAACAGAUGAGAAGUUCCACGCUAAACGAGCUCCAUGUCUCACAGACGGGGACGGAGUAGUCGUAGGGUCGGCGCUUCGAUUCCCGGCCCACGUGACUCCACGUGCCGAAGUGUCCUUGGGAAAGACACUGAACCCCAAGUUGCUCAGAUGGCAAGUUAGCGCCAAGUUAGUCUGCUACCACUGGUGUGUGUGUGUGUGUGUGUGCGUGUGAAUGGGUGAAUAAGAACCAAUGUAAAGCGCUUUGUUGAACCGCGGAGGUUAAAAAGCGCUAUAUAAGUGCAGACCAUUUACCAUUUAACAUGGUGCCUCCUGGGAUUGCAGGAGCCGGUGGAAAUCCUGUGUAAUCUGAGCGAACGAGCCAUGUACACACACACACGCACACACGUAAAAACACAUGUCCUAUUUUUUAUUUAUUUCUUGACCUGAUAACACAGCGAAGGUGAAGAGGAGGCCAGUUUCACACAGGAAGCAGAGCCGGAGCAGGGAGGAGGACGAGUGUGGGUGUCUGAGACCUUACUGACCACAGCUGCAUACGCAUCACACUUCUGCUAACUGAAACUGCACGAGUGCAUGCCGUGUACGCCGUUCAUGAACCGAGCUCUAACACCAAAACUAUCCAAGAAGUUCGGCGUGUCCUGAUGAACAGAGGCAGGAGGAUCCAUCCAGGUGGUAAGACGCUCUCGUUUAUCCGUUUCUGACAGAUCUGUCCGUAUCGAACAAGAGCCUCGGAAUCGUACCAUUCUAUACAACGUUUGCCAAAGCAGAUGGUUUCCAAAUAGCGUUAGACGAGGCCCGGCCGGCGCGCUCCGGCUUGUCUGGUUUUUUACCGGAAAACAGCUUGAAUAGACGAAAGAAAUAUACGAAGGUAGUGUGUUUUUUACUGUAUUUCUUUCUUUCUUCCUGCUCAGAUAGACAGACAGACAGACAGAUAGACAGACAGUCAGACAGACAGACAGAUAGAUAGAUAGAUAGAUAGACAGACAUGCAGACAGAUAGAUAGAUAGAUAUAUAGAUAGAUACAUAGAUAGAUAGUCAGACAGACAGAUAGAAAGACAUAGAUAGGAAGACAGACAGAUAGAUGGAUAGACAGAUAGAUAGACAGACAGACAAGCAGACAGAUAUAUAGAUAGCUAGAUAGACAGAUAGAUAG
ensembl:lncRNA